UACAGAGGGGGCAAGCGUUGUUCGGAAUUAUUGGGCGUAAAGCGCGCGCAGGCGGCUUCGCGCGCCCGACGUGAAAGCCCCGGCUUAACCGGGGAGAGUCGUUGGGGACGGCGGAGCUUGAGGCGGGAGAGGUCGGUGGAAUUCCCGGUGUAGUGGUGAAAUGCGUAGAGAUCGGGAGGAACACCUGUGGCGAAAGGCGGCCGACUGGGCCGACCCUGACGCUGAGGCGCGAAAG
rnacentral:rRNA from 1 species